CAUCAUACGCUUCCUACAGCCACCCAUACAGUCACGGCCACUCUUUCGUUCCAGAGACAAAAUCAUGGAUUAGACAUACUCAUGCAGCAUGGCAUGCACUAUCCCACCUAGCACUUUCAUCCCAUACUUGUAGAAUGCAUAACACAGCUAUUAACCUGGCUUUAAAGAAUCUCAUUGGAACACGACAUAGCUCAACCUGUGUCAUAACAUUUCUCCUAGGUUUUGCUUCAUUUUU